rnacentral:rRNA from 1 species
UCCGGCCGGGAACUCAAAGGAGACUGCCAGUGAUAAACUGGAGGAAGGUGGGGAUGACGUCAAGUCAUCAUGGCCCUUACGACCAGGGCUACACACGUGCUACAAUGGCAUAUACAAAGAGAAGCGACCUCGCGAGAUCAAGCGGACCUCAUAAAGUAUGUCGUAGUCCGGAUUGGAGUCUGCAACUCGACUCCAUGAAGUCGGAAUCGCUAGUAAUCGUAGAUCAGAAUGCUACGGUGAAUACGUUCCCGGGCCUUGUACACACCGCCCGUCACACCAUGGGAGUGGGUUGCAAAAGAAGUAGGUAGCUUAACCUUCGGGAGGGCGCUUACCACUUUGUGAUUCAUGACUGGGGUGAAGUCGUAACAAGGUAACCGUAGGGGAACCUGCGGUUGGAUCACCUCCUUA